rnacentral:piRNA from 1 species
UGUGACCGGAAAGUUGGCCUAUUGUGCAGC